GUAGAGGUGAAAUUCGUAGAUAUCGGCAAGAACAUCAGUGGCGAAGGCGACGACCUGGUCCGAUACUGACGCUCAGACUCGAAAGCGUGGGGAGCAAAACAGGAUUAGAUACCCUGGUAGUCCACGCUGUAAACGAUGCUCACUGGAUAAUGUGCUACUUUCGUGGUGCAUUGUCGAAGCUAACGCGUUAAGUGAGCCGCCUGGGGAGUACGGUCGCAAGAUUAAAACUCAAAGGAAUUGACGGGGGGCCCGCACAAGCAGUGGAGUAUGUGGUUUAAUUCGAAGCAACGCGAAGAACCUUACCUGGGUUUGAAAUCCCAUGAACCUGGCUGAAAGGCUGGGGUGCCCUUCGGGGGAGCGAUGGAGACAGGUGCUGCAUGGCUGUCGUCAGCUCGUGUCGUGAGAUGUUCGGUUAAGUCCGGC
rnacentral:rRNA from 1 species